CUAGGAGAACCGAAAACUGUUCUAGACAGACCUCUGGCUUUAUAGCCCUUUGGCAGUCAACUUCAGCUUGUGGUAGAGCAGACAAACUCGCGGUGCUCAGCAGUGAGAUGGAUGCGCCACUCUACCCACAACUCCUGGCUGUCCCGUUUUAAUUAACUGCCCCCCCAUCCCCCAUUAAAGGGAAGAAUGA
rfam:Macropus eugenii Contig315414, whole genome shotgun sequence.